CUGAAAGAGAUUCAAAAACCAAAACUUUAAUUAAAGAAACAGAUCGGAGAAACAGGAAAUUGAGAAGAAAAAAAAAACCCAAAAGUCUGGAUUUUUUUGUGGGCAUUUACUUGCAGGAAGAUUGGACAUGAACGACGAUGGAACGAGAUUUGGGGAGAAGAAGAACAGAGACAGAUGCGUCGAAAGCAGAGGAAAGAGACAGAACGUUGUUGUCGAAUUUAGACAGGUAACAGAUCACAUCGGCCAUACAGAUCUUACCCAAACACUCGCAGUCGCACUUGUUUUUGUUAUCUUCAUCGGUUUCUUCGUGAUUACAGCUCCAGACGCUGAGGAAAGGCUCGUCGGAGGAUUUGAGUGCGGCGAUGGCGUCAGCGACGGUGGCUGUGGCGGCGGAGAGACACCGUAGCGGUGGUUUGCCGAUACAGAGGUCGGAUACCUCGUGAGACAAAAGGGUUAGUGCCAUACAA
rnacentral:lncRNA from 1 species